UUUCGAAAUUGCAAAAGGUCUAUUGAAGGGGUAAAUUACAAAUCUGGAAAAGGCUUGUCGUCUGAGUCUGAAUCACUAUGGGAAAUCUGAAAUCGUACAGGUUGUUUGAACUUUUUAUCUUUAUUAAUUUAUUCCUGAUAUACAUACAAAUAUAUAUGUAUAUAUAUCCUUUAUAUAUAUAUAUAUAUAUAUAUGUAUAUAUAUAUAUAUAUAUAUGCAAUUCAUUCAUCAAUUCACAGACACAUAAAGAAUUUGUGUACUACUUUCAUUCUUAUUAUGUUAUUUCUUUACUCAUUCAUUAUUAUACAAUAGAUUUAAUCACUCAACCUUUUGCUUCUUCUUUUAUUGGCGGCUAUCUACUUGCCGAGAGUUCGCUUCCAAAACAUGGAAUAUAACCUGCACAAGAUCCUGUUCAGAACUGAUAAUUGGUGCCAUUAUAUAAUUAUUGCAAGUCAUAUCCACUAGCUGUUCACCCAAGAUUGAGUUUGAUCAGAAUUUUAGGAUGAAAUGAAACAGAAGUUUUCAUAAGUUUUUCACAAUUCUGAUGGUACCAGUCCUAGCAUAAAUGAUGUUGAGAUAGCGGAAAACC